rfam:Capsella rubella cultivar Monte Gargano unplaced genomic scaffold scaffold_20, whole genome shotgun sequence.
GAACGAUGAUGAGGACACUGAUAUGUGUAGUUCUUGAAUCUCUCCCAAGCUUCACAUAAAGUUUCUCCAUUCUUCUAAGCAACUCCAGAGAUCUCAUUUCGUAGUCU